GUCGCGCGAGGGGGUCAAUUUUCAGCUAUAAAUAGCUUGGUUCACAAGUUGUUCGUCUGUGUCAAAACUAAUUCACAAAAGUGAAUUCUCAUCACUCAAAAUUCAAAUUUAAGAUAUCGGGGUAUUGCUACGAUACCGGAUGCUAAUUCUCAGAAGAAUCUGAAUCAUGAAGCUUGUCAAUUCAAUACUGCAUGUUUAUAAUAGUUAUAAUUACAGUGAUUAA
rnacentral:lncRNA from 1 species